rnacentral:rRNA from 1 species
AUUGAACGCUGGCGGCAGGCCUAACACAUGCAAGUCGAGCGGAGCGGCGGACGGGUGAGUAAUGCCUAGGAAUCUGCCUGGUAGUGGGGGAUAACGUCCGGAAACGGGCGCUAAUACCGCAUACUCUCAGAUGAGCCUAGGUCUGAUUAGCUAGUUGGUGGGGUAAAGGCCUACCAAGGCGACGAUCCGUAACGGGUCUGAGAGGAUGAUCAGUCAAAGUGGAACUGAGACACGGUCCAGAGUCCUACGGGGUACAGUAGUGGGUAAUAUUGGACAAUGGGAGAAAGCCUGAUCCAGCCAUGCCGAGUGUGUGAAGAAGGUCUUCGGAUUUUAAAGCACUUUAAGUUGGGAGGCGUUACCAACAGAAUAAGCACAGGCUAACUUCGUGCCAGCAGCCGCGGUAAUUC